rnacentral:rRNA from 1 species
AAAAACAUCGCCUCUUGAGCUCUUAUAAGAGGUCCAGCCUGCCCAGUGACUCUGUUCAACGGCCGCGGUAUCCUAACCGUGCGAAGGUAGCGUAAUCACUUGUUCUUUAAUUGUGGACUAGUAUGAAUGGCAUCACGAAGGUUAUACUGUCUCCUCUCUCUAAUCAGUGAAACUAAUCUCCCCGUGAAGAAGCGAGGAUAAAACUAUAAGACGAGAAGACCCUAUGGAGCUUUAAACAACAUAGCACUUGCCAAACAAAUAAAAAUUCCAGAAUCAUUAAGCUCUUCGGACAAUUUGACUAUUAGUUUUUGGUUGGGGUGACCGCGGAGCAAAAUAAAACCUCCAUGUUGAAAGAGCGCUUUUCUAAACCAAGAGCCACACCUCUAAGCAUCAACACAUUGACAUCCAUUGACCCAAUACACUUGAACAACGAACCAAGUUACCCUAGGGAUAACAGCGCAAUCCACUUCGAGAGCCCCUAUCGACAAGUGGGUUUACGACCUCGAUGUUGGAUCAGGGUCUCCCAGUGGUGCA